UAUAAAAUUAGCAUAUGGAAAAUUUAAUAUCAUCAAGUUCUGGAAGUGAAGUAGAUUUUGAGUCAGAUGAUGAUUAUUUGUAUAACAGCAAUCACAACUUGGAGACAGAGGAGGACAAUAUAGAUAGUGAUGUGUGUGAAGAUAGCUAUAAAUAUUGUUACAGUAAAGAUGGAAAAACUAAAUGGAAUAUGGAAUGCCCAACACAAAAAAGGACAAGAUCCCAUAAUAUAAUAUCAUGUUUGCCAGGGGUUAAAUCUCAUGCAAAAAAUGCAAAAUCACCAUUAGAAAGCCUCAAAUUAUUCAUUUCACCUAAUUACAGAUUUAGUUUUAAAAUAUAAAAAUCAAAAGAUUGAGUCCAUUGAAAAAGAUGACUCUGUUUAUCACGCCAAAAUGGAUGAAAAUGAAUUGAAUGCCUUAGUUGGUUUGCUAAUGAUAGCCGGAGUUUAUAAAUAUCAAAAUAUAAGAGAUUUAUGGAAUAAAGAUGGAUUUGGUGUUGAUAUAUUUAGAUAUACUAUGAAUAUAAAUAGAUUCCAAUUUCUAUUGAAAGUGCUUAGAUUUGAUGAUAUGAAUACAAGAAAUACAAGGAAAGCACUUGAUAAAGCAACACAUAUUAGAGAAAUUUUUGAUAUUUUUAAUGAUAAUUCUUAUUCUGUUGGACAAUAUGUUACUAUUGAUGAAAUGCUUCCUGCAUUCAAAGGAAAAUGUCCAUUUAGGCAAUAUAUGCCAAAUAAACUGAAAAUAUAUGCUCUAGUUGAUUCUAGAACUUUUUAUACAUUAAAAACAGAAUUAUAUACUGGCAAUCAGCCAGAAGGGCCAUAUAAAUUGUCAAA